AUGCCCCUUCGGUGGGGGAGUGUGCGGUUUUCAUUGUCUACCAGCCCAUUUAGUAAUGGCCCCUUCGGCGGAGAAGUGUGCGCAGCAUCGCUGGAAACAAAAUCACGGAACCUGAAGCUAAAAACUGGUUGUUUUUCAAUGCAUGAUGCAUCAUCAGACGAGGAGUUUACACUCAUGGUGGUCGGCAUGGGAGCUAUCUGGUCAGCACGGAGGAAAUCGAUUCAUGAGAAUAUAUACCAUAGUGGCAUAGUCCGUUUGCAACGCAUGGAUUCGCAUGGAUUCGUCAAAGACGAAAUUAAUACUCUCUCCGGCCCUAGUGUCAAAAAAAUGUCUUACAUUAUGGGAUGGAGUAGUAGAUGCGAGCAUCAAUACUCCCUCCGACCCUAG
rnacentral:rRNA from 1 species